rnacentral:lncRNA from 1 species
UUGGAGGCCGCUGCGUCGCCAUGCUGGCUAUGGUCAGCAGAGCUGGGUAGGAUUAGCGCCAGGAAGAAGCCCAGCGUGUGAAGUGAGGGAUCUGAGUUGGGGUGCUGGGGGCAGGGGCAGAUGGAAAUGUGUGGAAUCGCCAAGAACAGGUCUAGAGUUGCGAGGUCAGCAGGCCAAGCCCUAGCUAAGAGGAAUAGGCCGGAGAAUAAGCCUGUAGUUAAGGUCCCUGGUUCUGGUGUCAAACAGCACUGAGCACCAGCCUUAGUACGCCACUGUCCCCUCUGCACCCUAAGGGCAAAUCAUUCAUCUGCCGAGGCCGCUUCCUGAUUUGUGAGGAAGGAACCAGGGUUCCUGGAGGAUUAAGCCAGACUAGUAGCACCUGACGCUCAGAAAGUAGUCCCUAAAUGGUGGCUCCUGUUAUUAAUAGCAAAAAUUAAUUUGUGAAAAACUGCCAUUUUGGAAUGGAGUUGGAAACUGCCCUCCAGGCCUGAUCCCACCCAGACACAUGUUAUGUCUCAACCACACAGCAUUUUUUUUGAAGUCUGAAUUAUGAUAACCACCAAUGCUUAGAUAUUAGGAGAGUUUACCAAAAGCUUGGGAGAUUUGACUUCUCCUGGCCCACAGGAGCCUCUGGUUGUCUGGGGCCUGCCGUCCACAAGUAGCCAUAGCCGAGGGGUGGCUGCCCCCUGUCGGUGUACCACAGAGCCACUAUUGCGCCUGCCGCCAGCUGGCCCCGUCACUCACCUCUGUGCAGGGCCUGGCCUCUGUAGGCACUUCACUUGCUCUCCGUGCAGUAAAGUGGAGCUAUUAUUAUCUCAGAAGGAACGAGGGUCAUCAGAGUUAGCUGCCGAGUUGCUGACUGGGGCCUCCUUGACUCUGCUGUGAUGUUGGCCUGGGAGACCUGGGCGCAUGGACGAGAACUGCAUGGCCCGGCCUGCGGAGGAGCUGAAGGCAGGGCACAAGGGGCUUCCAUGGGUGCCUUGGCUGGGCCGUGGAGCCAGUGGUUGCCCGUUUUCCUCCUUGUGCCUCUUAGGAACCUGAGC